rnacentral:rRNA from 1 species
GUAAGGGGCGAGCGUUGUUCGGAUUUACUGGGCGUAAAGGGUGUCUAGGCGGCACGUCAAGUCGGAAGUGAAAUCCCACGGCUUACCCGUGGAAUUGCUUUCGAAACUGGCGAGCUUGAGUACGGGAGAGGAGAGCGGAAUUCCCGGUGUAGCGGUGGAAUGCGUAGAUAUCGGGAAGAACACUCGUGGCGAAGGCGGCUCUCUGGACCGCUACUGACGCUGAAGCACGAAAGCCAGGGGAGCGAACGGGAUUAGAUACCCCGGGUAGUCCUGGCCGUAAACGAUGUGCACUUGGUGUAGGAGGUAUCGACCCCCUUCUGUGCCGAAGCUAACCGCAUUAAGUGCACCGCCUGGGGAGUACGGCCGCAAGGCUG